GCGCGCGAUACAGGGUGACAGCCCCGUACACAAAAAUGCACAUAUUGUGAGCUCGAUGAGUAGGGCGGGACACGUGGUAUCCUGUCUGAAUAUGGGGGGACCAUCCUCCAAGGCUAAAUACUCCUGACUGACCGAUAGUGAACCAGUACCGUGAGGGAAAGGCGAAAAGAACCCCGGCGAGGGGAGUGAAAAAGAACCUGAAACCGUGUACGUACAAGCAGUGGGAGCCUCUUAAUGGGGUGACUGCGUACCUUUUGUAUAAUGGGUCAGCGACUUAUAUUCUGUAGCAAGGUUAACCGAAUAGGGGAGCCGAAGGGAAACCGAGUCUUAACUGGGCGUUAAGUUGCAGGGUAUAGACCCGAAACCCGGUGAUCUAGCCAUGGGCAGGUUGAAGGUUGGGUAACACUAACUGGAGGACCGAACCGACUAAUGUUGAAAAAUUAGCGGAUGACUUGUGGCUGGGGGUGAAAGGCCAAUCAAACCGGGAGAUAGCUGGUUCUCCCCGAAAGCUAUUUAGGUAGCGCCUCGUGAAUUCAUCUCCGGGGGUAGAGCACUGUUUCGGCAAGGGGGUCAUCCCGACUUACCAACCCGAUGCAAACUGCGAAUACCGGAGAAUGUUAUCACGGGAGACACACGGCGGGUGCUAACGUCCGUCGUGAAGAGGGAAACAACCCAGACCGCCAGCUAAGGUCCCAAAGUCAUGGUUAAGUGGGAAACGAUGUGGGAAGGCCCAGACAGCCAGGAUGUUGGCUUAGAAGCAGCCAUCAUUUAAAGAAAGCGUAAUAGCUCACUGGUCGAGUCGGCCUGCGCGGAAGAUGUAACGGGGCUAAACCAUG
rnacentral:rRNA from 1 species